ensembl:lncRNA
CUACUUCAGCCAUCUCUGGGAACAUAUCUUCCCACAAGCUGAUGGAACAUAUGUCUCUUUCAGCCUUUUAUUAUUCACAUUUAUUUUGUGGACACUGGACUCUUUUCCUGUUAUUAGAUAGAACACUACUGGGGGAAGAAAACUGUACCCCACUGAAAUCAGUGAUAUCAAGUCUACAGCAAGUGGAUCUGGUAAAAGUCUGCAGACACUAACUUGCACGUAAUUAUUUAAACAUCACCAUCAAUAGAGACAUGAUUCCCAGAGACAUCAGCUAAAGACUUAAUAUUAAUAGGUUUUAAUUUCCCACAGGAGAACUGAUAUGUUAUUGUGGGGUUUUGCUAAAAGUAGAAAGAAAACAUUUUACAUUUGGAAGAAACUAAUUCUGGAAAAAGUUAAAUUCUGAAUUUAUACUUCUUUUUUUCUAUGCAGAAUUUACACACAAUAAAACUAGUAAGGACUCAUUAGUUAAAGUUAAUUUAGCCCUUCAUCCUUUCAAGGCAAUAGAAUCCUAAUCUCUAUAUUUCAGGUGUGUUUUGAGUAUUAUUUUUUUCUUUCUUUCUUUUUUUUCCCCUGAGUUUUAAACUCCUCCUUUUAGUUUAUUUUAAAAAUGUCUUUCUCCUAUCUUGCUUUGACAUCUUUUCUUUGGACCUGAAUGUUGGUAGGGUUAGUUCAAAUUUAUUUUCUUUGUAGGACCUUACAAAUGGUACCACAAUGCAUCUCACAAUACCAGUUUUCAUGUUCCACUAUAUCACUUCAAUUCGCCUACAGUGCAGUUCAUAUGAAUAAAUUUUGACAUGUCCAUCUGGGACAUCCUUCUGGUCUAUGAAAAGAUAAAAGAUGCUUGUGGGGUCUGAAUUUAAACUUCUGAAAUAGGUCAUGGGAAUUGUAGUUAUUCAUUCAUGCCUGUUCUCUCAGCUGACUACAAAGAAACCUACAGUGAGUAGCACAGCUGGAGACACCUACACUGAAGAUAUUUGAAGCUGAAGGAGAUGAAUCCCAUUCUUGUUCCCUAAUAAAGGCAAAUUUUCAGCAACAAUGGAAAGUGAAAUUCUCACUUGUUUUGACCCUUGUUCAGUCACUUGAGUCUUUGCAAUAUCAUCAUAAAUAAAUCACCACUGUCUUUUAUACUAUUUGGGACAGACCUAGUUAUAGCACAGCCUACAAUUGAAAAGAUUUUUUUUUUUGACUUGCUCAAGUAAAAGGCUGCAUUUCUCUCCCUUCAUCGUAAAAACCCUAUGACUGUUUAUCUCGACAUGAGAACUUAGAUAUUCUGUGAUCCUUUCAUUGCAGCUGAGCAACAGACUGGGGACUGGGAUUUGAAUUCAGAGGAAACCCAAGAGCUAUUUAGAAGCUUGCUUUUUAUUCCACUUUCUUCUUAAAAAUAAAAAAUAAAUAAAUAGAU